AGUAACUGAACAGCUACACCAGAUAUAGAAUCCUGCCUAGUACUCCUGUCUCUCAGGCAGGACCGUAAAACACUGCAAACAGGAGGAAGCAGGAAGAAGUCACCCAUGAAGUCCUUGCCCCUGAUAAAAAACAAAACUCAUCCGGCCUCUGAAGUCAUAAUAGUUCUUGCAGCUUGGAGUGUGCCGCCAUCCUCCCCAAACACAUCUCGACUCUGAAAGUGACCCUAUGAAGGCUAUGACUGCUAAGCAGCAGGCAGAACAGACACGUUACUGUGAUGCAAGGUGUGAAAGCUGCUGAUGUUUACAGGAAACAGAUUGGAACAAGAUAUCAGCACAGACUGAGGCAACCAUGGAGAAGAUUGUAUGCUGAGAUGGAAGACCCAAAAGAUUGAAGCAGCCUGGAUAACUCGGGUACCACACAGAGGACAACUGCCCUAGAGAGUUGCCUUGACCCGCAAAAGACAUUGCCUGAGAUGAAAAUAAACUUUUAUUGUGUUAAACCUUUG
rnacentral:lncRNA from 1 species